rnacentral:rRNA from 1 species
UGUCGUCAGCUCGUGUCGUGAGAUGUUGGGUUAAGUCCCGCAACGAGCGCAACCCUUGCUCUUAGUUGCCAGCACGAAAGGUGGGCACUCUAAGAGGACUGCCGGUGACAAACCGGAGGAAGGUGGGGAUGACGUCAAAUCAUCAUGCCCUUUAUGCUCUGGGCUACACACGUGCUACAAUGGCCGGUACAGAGGGCAGCGAAGGGGCGACCCGGAGCCAAUCCCACAAAGCCGGCCCAAGUUCGGAUUGCAGGCUGCAAUUCGCCUACAUGAAGUCGGAAUCGCUAGUAAUCGCGGAUCAGCAUGCCGCGGUGAAUACGUUCCCGGGA